AGCAUCGGAGGAUCUUCAUCGGGUAACACUCUGGUGAGGACUUUUUAAUAGGUGUUCAGGCAGAGCUCCAGUAGCGGUUCCACUUCAGCCACAUCCACCUCGGCGUCCGACCUCAGAUGGGGAGAUUAGGAGUAAUACUAUCAAUAUAAGGCAUGAUCAUGUUGGAGCUUGCUAGUAGAGUAUUUGACAUACGAGUGAAUGGUCAC
rnacentral:lncRNA from 1 species